ACACGCAUGAAGGUCAAGCUGAAAGACUUUACCCAAUGAUGUAAGUGGUGGUGCAUGGCCGUUCGUAGUUCGUGGAUUGAUUUGUCUGGUCUAUUCCGUUAACGAGCGAGACCCCAACGUUCCUAAUAGGGGGGGCAGCCCGGGCGGUCGCAAGAUCGCCUAGCCGCCCCCUGGUUCUAGCUUCUUAGACGUAUCAGAGCCGAUAAGGUUCUUGAAAUGGGUUAAUAACAGGUCAGUCAUGCCCUUAGAUGUUCUGGGCCGCACGCGCGUUACAAUGGCAUGUAUAGAAAGUGCUUUUCAAGGUGUCCCCGGGGCCGAAAGGCUCCGGUAACCCUUAGUCCCUGCCUUGACUGGGACAGAUCUUUGCAAUUAUUGGUCUCCAACGAGGAAUUUUUAGUAAUCGCAGGUCAUUAACCUGCGAUGA
rnacentral:rRNA from 1 species